rnacentral:rRNA from 1 species
GAUGAACGCUAGCGGCAGGCCUAAUACAUGCAAGUCGAACGGUGUCUUCGGACAUAGUGGCGCACGGGUGCGUAACACGUAUGCAACCUACCUUACAUUGGGGGAUAGCCUUUCGAAAGGGAGAUUAAUACCGCGUAAGACAGUAGCUGGGCAUCCAGCAGCUGUUAAAGAUUUAUCGAUGUAAGCUGGGCAUGCGUCCAAUUAGCUAGUUGGUGAGGUAACGGCUCACCAAGGCAAUGAUUGGUAGGGGAACUGAGAGGUCAAUCCCCCACACUGACACUGGGAUACGGGCCAGACUCCUACGGGAGGCAGCAGUAGGGAAUAUUGGGCGAUGGACGCAAGUCUGACCCAGCCAUGCCGCGUGCAGGAUGAAGGCGUUAUGCGUUGUAAACUGCUUUUAUACAGGAAGAAACGACUCUUGCGAGAGGCAUUGACGGUACUGUAUGAAUAAGCACCGGCUAACUCUGUGCCAGCCGCCGCAGUAACAC